UACAGGGGGAGCAAGCGUUGUUCGGAUUUACUGGGCGUAAAGGGCGCGUAGGCGGUCGUGACAAGUCACUUGUGAAAUCUCCGGGCUUAACUCGGAACGGUCAAGUGAUACUGUCGGACUAGAGUACAGAAGGGGCAACUGGAAUUCUCGGUGUAGCGGUGAAAUGCGCAGAUAUCAGGAGGAACACCAGUGGCGAAGGCGGUGCUCUGGGCCGGAACUGACGCUGAGGAGCGAAAGCGUGGGGAGCAAACAGG
rnacentral:rRNA from 1 species